rnacentral:sRNA from 1 species
GCCAGGCACAGUGGUGCAUACCUGUAAUCCCAGCAGCUUGGGAGGCUGAGGCAGGAGGAUCAUAAGUUCAGAGCCAGCCUCAGCAAUAGCGAGGCACUAAGCAACUCAGUGAGACCCUGUCUCUA